CUCCAUGGAGUCAAAGAGUCAGGAGGGACUGGCACCCCUGGAGGAGACUGGCUCCUGAGAGUCGCCUGACAGGCCCAGGUCCCUGAGGCUGAUGCCCAGUGCUGUCACCUGCUUCCAGAGGAGGACCUAGAGUCUGGCUGCUCAGUGUAGCGCACACAAGCUGGCUAGAGCUGGUGGGUCACCUUCAUGGGCUCCUGAAAUGACAUCAUAAACUAUCAUCAACUAUGGAGUCGUUACUAUAGAGUGUGGCUUCCAAGACCCAUCUGCCCUUGAACAGGAGCCAAUGUCC